CUGCACCUACUGCUGUAACCUUCUUAGUAGUAUUUCUCUCAAAUAUCAGCAAUCAGACAUUCUGUUUAGUGUCAGUAAUCUGGAGAUCUGAUUACUUAAAGCUACAACGCUCUGAAGAUCCUCUGUUUUGGUGCGACAAGCAGAAACACUUUUUGCUUCAAACCUUUUCUACUCUGUGCUUGCUGUAACUGUGCCCCCGUGAGGAUGGGUGUGAAGGUACUUCUGUGCUUCCCCUUCUACAGACGAAGCAAAGAGCAAUGCAAAAACAAGGAGUGCCCUCCUGACACAGAUCCUGCUGUACAAACUGAAAAGCCAAAGCUACGUCUCUCCUCCACAACAUCAGUGGUUAGUGAGGGCGACAGUUCAAGCAGCCUGGGAAGCCCUCAGGUAUACUUUUCCCAGAAAGCUCGGCUCUCCUUCAGACAUCAAAUGGACAGCAACUUCAAUGCAAUAGAUGCCACAUAUUAAUUUCAAUCAUUUGCCAAGCACCUGAAUUUGAACUCUAAAUCUGUUAAAAGACAGGGCUGUGAAAGUGGCGGAUGGAAAGGGAACUGAAGCAAUGUGUGCCCCAGUGACCUAAUGCCACUUAGUGGAUUACCUCGAAGCUGUGAAAGUCAUACUGUGCUUUCAUAAGCACUGAUUAGCAUAGUCAUAGAAAAAGAAAAGCCAGGAAAAUUUAAGAGGAAAUGUUUACAAGAUCACAUGAAAAGUGCUUUCUAUGUUCUGUUCCAGUCUUAUCCACUUUUCUUAUACUGUUUUCUCCAUACUGGAGUACUAUGAAGCUCACAUAUGUUCGAAAAUCAUGAAUAUUCAUUAACAAGACAUAAUAUAAUUAAUUGUGAUUGUUUUAAAAUGGAUUUUAGAGAUUAUGUUUCUAAGCCCUUUCCACAAGUGUCUUUUGGCUUAUGUCUUUUCGGUAAACUUGUACUGGUUUACAUGCAGUAAAAACAUAUGUGCUAAAUAACUAACUCUUAGAGAUAUUACAGUUCAAACCCAGUGAUUUGUAAAGCUUUUAUGUAAGCAAACAUAACAGUUUGUUUUAAUGUUAUUUUUGGUGAAAGAGCUUUUCUAAACCCUUCUUGUGAUAUAUUUGUGUUUUGUAUUUUUGUAUAAAAUUGCACAGAGUUUAUAUAUUACACAAAGCAAAUUAAAUGCAAUUUAAUUUAAAUGAAAUUUCAAUUAAGAUUUAAACUUCUACAGAUCUACUUCUAUAAAAGCAUACACUAAUUAUAUUCAUGAUACACUAAUAUAAAUAACAUUAAUAUUAUAAUGUAUAAUGA